GACGUAGGAUCCGAGCGUUAUCCGGAUUUACUGGGCGUAAAGCGCGUUCAGGCGGUUUGGCAAGUCGGGCAUGAAAUCUCUCGGCUCAACCGGGAGAGGUUGUCCGAUACUGCUGGACUUGAGGGCAGUAGAGGGUGGUGGAAUUCCGGGUGUAGUGGUGAAAUGCGUAGAUAUCCGGAGGAACACCAGUGGCGAAAGCGGCCACCUGGACUGUACCUGACGCUCAAACGCGAAAGCUAGGGGAGCGAACGGG
rnacentral:rRNA from 1 species